rnacentral:rRNA from 1 species
AUUAUUUAAAGAAGCUAACAGUCCCGGCUAAUCUCGUGCCAGCAGCCGCGGUAAUACGGGAGGGGCAAGCGUUAUUCAAAAUAACUGGGCGUAAAGAGUUCGUAGACAGUGUUACAAGUUAUUUGUUAAUUUUUAAAGCUUAACUUUAAGUCAGCAAAUAAUACUAUUUCACUUGAGUUUUUUUCAGAAGAGUAGAAUUUUAUAUCAAGGGGUGAAACCCGUAGACAUAUAAAGGAAUACCAUCAAAAGCGAAGGCGACUCUUUAGUAAAAACUGACGUUGAGGAACGAAAGUGUAGGGAGCAAACAGGAUUAGAUACCCUGGUAGUCUAUACUGUAAAUUCUGAGUGCUGUAAUUUAAUUAAUUUAUUUGAUUGGAUUCUUUUAAGCUAACGCUAUAAGCACUCCGCCUGAGGAGUACGAUCGCAAGAUUGGAACUCAAAGGAAUUGACGGGGGCCUACAACUAGUGGUGGAGCAUGUGGUUUAAUGCGAUAAUCCGCGCAAAACCUUACCAAUUUUUGAAUAUUGUAUAUUAAAAAAAAAGCGGUAAUGCUUUUUUUUUAUUUUAUAUUACAGGUGUUGCACGACUGUCGUCAGUUCGUGUCGUGAGAUGUUUGGUUAAUUCCUUUAACGGGUGCAACUCUUAUCUUUAAUAUAUUAUAAAUUUUAAUUUAAACUAUUAUAAAAGAUACUGCUUAUGAUAAAUUUGAGGAAGGUAAGAAUUAAGUCAAGUCAAUGUGGCCCUUAUAAAUUGGGCUACACACGUGCUACAAUGAAAAUUACAAAGAGUAACAAAAAUGCAAAUUUAAGUUAAUCUUUUAAAAAUUUUCUCAGUUCGGAUUGUAAUCUGCAACUCGAUUACAUGAAGUUGGAAUCACUAGUAAUCGCAAAUCAGCAUGUUGCGGUGAAUAUGUUACUUGGCCUUGUACACACCGCCCGUCACAUGCAAAGAGUUAAUUUUGCUUGAAGAUUUAAUAUUAAGUUAAUAAGUCAAUUGAGGAAUUGGUGAUUUGGAUGAAGUCGUAACAAGGUAGCUGUACGGGAACGUGUAGCUG